rnacentral:rRNA from 1 species
GGGACUCGCUAGAGAUAGCUUAGUGCCUUCGGGAACUCUGAGACAGGUGCUGCAUGGCUGUCGUCAGCUCGUGUUGUGAAAUGUUGGGUUAAGUCCCGCAACGAGCGCAACCCUUAUCCUUUGUUGCCAGCACGUAAUGGUGGGAACUCAAAGGAGACUGCCGGUGAUAAACCGGAGGAAGGUGGGGAUGACGUCAAGUCAUCAUGGCCCUUACGAGUAGGGCUACACACGUGCUACAAUGGCAUAUACAAAGAGAAGCGAACUCGCGAGAGCAAGCGGACCUCAUAAAGUAUGUCGUAGUCCGGAUUGGAGUCUGCAACUCGACUCCAUGAAGUCGGAAUCGCUAGUAAUCGUAGAUCAGAAUGCUACGGUGAAUACGUUCCCGGGUCUUGUAACACACCGA